rnacentral:tRNA from 1 species
CCAUCUUGAGGCCAUCGGUUCGAUUCCGAUUCAAGGGACCCUUGGUAGCUCAGCUGGAAGAGCGCAAGACUGUAAUU